UAGCAAUGGUGAGAGCAUUUUCUAAGCAUCUUCUUGAAUCUCUCUCAAGCAUCACUUAGUGUUUCAUCUUCAAACUGUUGAAAAGCAACAAUUUUAUUUCUGAACCG